GUACACGCUGUGACUAGCAUAUCAAUAAGCGGAGGAAAAGAAACUAACAAGGAUUCCCCUAGUAACGGCGAGUGAAGCGGGAAGAGCUCAAAUUUGAAAUCUUAAAGGGUUUCCCUUUACGAAUUGUAGUUUAAAGAAGUGUUUUCUGUUGAGGUUUUGGUAGAAGUUCUUUGGAAUAGGACAUCAUAGAGGGUGAGAAUCCCGUAUUUGACCUUUACUUUCAACUUUGUGAUACACUUUCAAAGAGUCGGAUUGUUUGGGAAUGCAGUCCAAAAUGGGUGGUAAAUUUCAUCUAAAGCUAAAUAUUGGCGAGAGGACCGAUAGCGAACAAGUACCGUGAGGGAAAGAUGAAAAGAACUUUGAAAAGAGAGUUAAACAGUACGUGAAAUUGUCAAAAGGGAAGCGUUUGACACCAGUGUUGUUUUUCUGAAAAUCAAUUAAAGGAACUGUUUAUGCUAAGCUGUUUAGACUUUAUCAGCUAACUGUUUAGUUUUGAGCUUUUCUUUAAUGCACUUUUCAGUUAACAAGUCAACAUCAAUUUCUUUUGCUGUAAAAAAGCUUGAGGAAGGUGGCUUGAGAUUCGUCUUAAGUGUUUAUAGCCUCUUGCCUAUGCAGUCGGAGAGAUUGAGGUCUGCAGCGUAGAUCCUUCGGGGCUAAAUGCAUUUGUGCUAAGUUAUAGCAUUUUAUAGACAACUUGUUGACUAUGAUUUGUCUUGUAGCUUACUCGCUUAUGUUAUUUUACCUACGCUUAGGAUGUUGAUAUGCAUGACUGAUAU
rnacentral:rRNA from 1 species